GUCCCUAUAGCGCCAUGAAUAGCGCGUUGGACAUCUAAUCCAAAGCUCGUAGGUUCGAAUCCCACCUGGGAUU